UACGUAGGGGGCAAGCGUUGUCCGGAAUUAUUGGGCGUAAAGCGCGCGCAGGCGGCUGGUUAAGUCUGGUGUAUAAACCUGAGGCUCAACCUCGGGACGCAUUGGAAACUGGACGGCUUGAGUGCAGAAGAGGAGAGUGGAAUUCCACGUGUAGCGGUGAAAUGCGUAGAGAUGUGGAGGAACACCAGUGGCGAAGGCGACUCUCUGGUCUGUAACUGACGCUGAGGCGCGAAAGCGUGGGGAGCAAACAGG
rnacentral:rRNA from 1 species